rnacentral:rRNA from 1 species
GAUGAACGCUAGCGGCAGGCCUAAUACAUGCAAGUCGAGGGGUAGAAGAGGCUUGCUUCUUUGAGGCCGGCGCACGGGUGCGUAACGCGUAUGCAACCUACCUUCAUCUGGGGGAUAGCCCGGAGAAAUCCGGAUUAAUACCGCAUAAAAUCACAGGAUGGCAUUAUCCAAUGAUCAAACAUUUAUGGGAUGAAGAUGGGCAUGCGUGUCAUUAGCUAGUUGGCGGGGUAACGGCCCACCAAGGCGACGAUGACUAGGGGAUCUGAGAGGAUGGCCCACCACACUGGUACUGAGACACGGACCAGACUCCUACGGGAGGCAGCAGUAAGGAAUAUUGGUCAAUGGAGGCAACUCUGAACCAGCCAUGCCGCGUGCAGGAAGACUGCCCUAUGGGUUGUAAACUGCUUUUAUUCGGGAAUAAACCUUAUUACGUGUAAUAAGCUGAAUGUACCGAAGGAAUAAGGAUCGGCUAACUCCGUGCCAGCCGCCGCAGUAA